rnacentral:rRNA from 1 species
AAUAAAAAUAGAAAUAACCUUAAAACUACUGAAACAAUAAAACAAAACAUUUUACCCCUUUAGUAUAGGAGAUAAAAAAGGAUCUAGGCGCUAUAAAAACAAGUACCGCAAGGGAACAUUGAAAGAGUAGUGAAAAAAUUCAACUAAGUUAAGCAAAGCAAAGAUUAAACCUUGUACCUUUUGCAUCAUGAUUUAGCUAGUAUAAUUUAAGCAAAGAGUACUUAAGUUUAAAACCCCGAAACCAAGUGAGCUACUUCAAGACAGCCUUAAUUAGGGCUAACCCGUAUCUGUGGCAAUAGAUUGGGGUGAUCUUUAAGUAGAGGUGAUAAACCUAUCGAACUCGGUUAUAGCUGGUUGUCUAUGAAAAGAAUAGAAGUUCAACCCAAUCUCGUUUAUUACACCACUCACGUUUAAACCCACUAAAGGUAAGAAUACAAGCGAUUGGAGCUAGUCAAAAGAGGUACAGCUCUUUUGACAAAAGAAACAACUUUUUAAGGAGGUUAAAGAUAAAAUCAGUAAAGAUUAAGACCCAGGUGGGCCUAAUAGCAGCCAUCCUUAAAGAAAGCGUUAAAGCUCAAGCACUAUAGACUCAAUUAUCCCUGUCAUAACCCUAAAACCCCUAAACUUAUUAGACUUUCUUAUCAGCUGAUAAGAGUAAUAAUGCUAAUAUGAGUAAUAAGAGGGUUAAGCCCCUCUCUUAACACGAGUGUACAUCGGAACGGACCAAACACCGAAAAUUAACGCACCUAACCUAAGAAGGUAAUGCAUACGAAACAACUAACAAGAAAACCCACCAUAAAAGUCAAGCGUUAACCCCACACUGGAUUGUUCAAUAAGAAAGACUAAAAGGAGAAGAAGGAACUCGGCAAAUACUUUUUAAGCCUCGCCUGUUUACCAAAAACAUCGCCUCUUGGAUAACCAAAAUAAGAGGUCCUGCCUGCCCUGUGACUAUGGGUUCAACGGCCGCAGUAUUCUAACUGUGCAAAGGUAGCGCAAUCACUUGUCUUUUAAAUGGAGACCUGUAUGAAUGGCAUGACGAGGGCUUGACUGUCUCCUUCCCCUAGUCAAUGAAAUUGAUCUCCCCGUGCAGAAGCGGGGAUUAAAACAUAAGACGAGAAGACCCUGUGGAGCUUUAGACACAAGGAAGCUUAUGUUAAUAAUUUAUAUACAAGAUAAACUAAAUGAGCCCUUCCUAAUGUCUUUGGUUGGGGCGACCAUGGGGAAAAAUAUAACCCCCGUGUGGGAGAAAUAAUAAUUCUUAAAGCCAUGAAACACACUUCUAAGCAUCAGAAUAUCUGACCUAAAGAUCCGGCAAAACCGAUUAACGAAACAAGUUACCCCAGGGAUAACAGCGCAAUCCCCUUCGAGAGUUCUUAUCAACGAGGGGGUUUACGACCUCGAUGUUGGAUCAGGACAUCCUAAUGGUGCAGCUGCUAUUAAGGGUUCGUUUGUUCAACGAUUAAAGUCCUACGUGAUCUGAGUUCAGACCGGAGUAAUCCAGGUCAGCUUCUAUCUAUGAAGCACCCUUCCCUAGUACGAAAGGACCGAGAAGGGGAGGCCCAUUCUAACAGAACGCCUACCCCUUACCUACUGAAGCCAUAUUAAAUAGCCAAAAGGGGGUCUCCUUCUGCUUGAAACUAAAGCAU